rnacentral:sRNA from 1 species
CAAGGGGCCAGGACCCUGAGUUUUAUUGGGCCUUGACUAAUGUGCCUCCUCAUCUGUGUCCUCACCCUCCUUGUGGACUUAGGUUUCAGGUAUCUCAGAGGCAGACCCACAGGCUCUGCUCCAGGCCAUGAAGGACCUGGACGGCAUGGAUGCUGAUAUCUUAGGUCUGAAGAAAUCUAAUUCAGCCCCUAGCAAAAAAGCUGCAAAGGACCCUGGGAAAGGAGAGCUGCCCAACCACCCCAAGCCUGCAGGGGGUGCCAUUCCCACCAAGAAGUCACUUCCGUCUCCCAGCAGCUCUGGGCAUCAGAACAGGAGGUUUUCUUCUGAAGACUUGGAAGACCCAUUGGGAGGACUUCUCUCCUAUGAUGAAGGAGGAAUCACCAAGCAGCCACCUGUAACACAGAGUAAAACAGCUUCUGACAAGAGCCCCAGCACAGUGAGAGAUCAAGGUCCCUCUAUUCCUCUAACUCCUGGGGACACCCCCAUCCGAAAAAAAGAAGAAUUGUUGUUUGAUGAUGGGGAUGACAUCAUGGCCACCUUGGGGUUUGGAGACAGCCCCAAAGCAGAGAAGAGGCAGAUAGGAGACCAGGAAGGGCCUCGCCCUGCUCGCUCCACGCUGGAUGAGCUGCUGGGUCGAGGCACGGCCACCAAACUCCUGGCCCGCCCGGGCACCGGGGAGCACAGGGAGUUCAAGCUAGACAAGAAGUACCAGAGGCCACAGGACAGUGAAGAUACGUGGGGUGACGAGGACUUCACCUUUGGAGCCUAUCAGCCCACUGUGGUCUCCUCUGAGGGCCGGCAGUCCCGCCGGCAGUCUGUCAGUAGGUUCUUAGCAGACAGUGGCCCAGACCCCAAGGGAGAACCAGGCUCCAAACAGAGCCCUCCAAUGGCUUCCAGCCCCAUCCAGCCCAGGAAGGGAGGAGCUGACUGGUUGGGCCUCAAGGACGAGGACUUGGACCUGUUCCCUGCCUCACCCACCAGAGAGGCCCAUCGGGAAAGUUCAGUGCCUGUCAUGCCCUCAGUGCCUCCUCCUGCGAACCAGCACUCCACGCCAGCUGGGCUGCCCCCCUCCAGGGCAAAGCCACCAACUGAAGGUGCAGGGUCCCCUGCCAAAGCCAGCCAAGCUUCCAAGCUGCGAGCCUCCAAGGAGGAGAAAGAGGACUGGCUGAGCCAUGCCCUGUCUCGGAAGAAGUCCCAAGGCCUGGCCAGAGAGCAGCAUGCUGGGACCUCUGAGGGCCUGCGUUUGGCGGGGACAGCGGGCCAUCCCCCUUCUGGCAGCCUGACCUGGGCCUUCUGUCACCUUCACCUUGAACGCUGCCUUUCCUCAGCCAACCUCUCACCAGCACACAAGGGCUUGAGCACGCAGCUGCUGGAGGGCGCUCUGGAACAACUGCACGAGAAAGACCGUGUGUCAGGCCUGGCGUCUUGGGGUCCCCUGUGACUCAGAACCAUGCCGCCUCAGCACUCCCUACAGGUUCCCCAAAGAGGGGAACAGCCCCUGGAGACCUCUCAGCCACUGAGCCUGCCACGUGUUUCCCGAGCACCCAGAAACCCACAGAGCCUUCCGUGCCUGUCCAGCCCCUGCUCCCAGAGUCCCUGGCCCGGAGCCUGCUGCCGGGCACAGAAUACCAGAAGCAGCUCCUGGCAGCACAGGUGCAACUUCAGAGCGGCCCCACUGAGCUCCAGGCCGAGCUGCUGCAGAGCCAGGCCCGGCUGGCAGAGCUGGAGGCCCAGGUGCGGAAGCUGGAGCUAGAACGGGCCCAGCAUGAGCUGCUGCUGGGGAGUCUGCAGCAGCAGCACCAGGCAGACCUGGAGCUCAUCGAGAGUGCACACAGAAGCCGCAUCAAGGUGCUAGAAACAUCGUAUCAGCAACGGGAGGAGCGGCUCCGGAGAGAGAACGAAGAGCUGUCAGCUCGGUAUCUGUCGCAGUGCCAGGAGGCCGAACAGGCCCGUGCUGAGCUUACGGCCCAGCACCAGCGGCGCUUGGCGGCCAUAGCGCAGGAGAAGGACCAGGAAAUGGAGCGGCUCCGGGAGCUGCAGCGGGCGUCCAUCCUAGACAUGCGCAGAGACCACGAGGAGCAGCUGCAGCGGCUAAAGCUGCUGAAGGACCGAGAGGUCGAUGCGGCCACCAGUGCCACCUCCCACACGCGGUCCCUGAAUAGCAUCAUCCACCAGAUGGAGAAGUUCUCCAGCAGCCUGCACGAGUUGUCCUCCCGCGUGGAGGCCUCGCACCUCACCACCUCCCAGGAGCGGGAGCUGGGGAUCCGGCAGCGUGACGAGCAGCUGCGGGGAGCGGCUGGGCCAGCAGCAGCGGGACAUGGAGGAGGAGCGGAGCCGGCAACAGGAGGUCAUCGGGAAGAUGGAGGCGCGGCUGAAUGAGCAGAGCCGGCUGCUGGAGCAGGAACGCUGGCGGGUGACUGCCGAGCAGUCCAAGGCGGAGUCCAUGCAGCGCGCCCUAGAGGAGCAAAGGAAGGUCACGGCCCAGCAGAUGGCCAUGGAAAGGGCGGAGCUGGAGCGGGCCAAGAGCGCCUUGCUGGAGGAGCAGAAGUCUGUCAUGCUCAAGUGCGGGGAGGAGCGGCGGCGCCUGGCUGCCGAGUGGGCGGAGUUCUCCGCGCAGCAAAAGCUGAGAGCAGGCUGAGCUGAAGAUCAGGGCCAGCGAGCUCCGGGCCGAGGAGAAGCAGCUGGCAGCGGAGAGAGCAGCCCUGGAGCAGGAGCGGCAGGAGCUGCGGCUGGAGAAGGAGAGGAUCAACGCCACCGCCCUGCGUGUCAAGCUCCGCGCCGAGGAGGUGGAGAGCAUGAGCAAGGUGCUGCUCGGGCACAUGGGCGUGGGCGCAUCUGAGCCCAGGCAGCCCUGACCCAGGCGGCCUCCCUGCAGGUGGCCUCCGAGAAGUACGAGGAGGGGGAGCGGGCAUUGCGCGAGGCCCGGCAGGUGCAGGCAGAGCAGCAGGCCCGGUUGCAGGCGGUGCAGCAACAGCAGGAGCGGCUGCGGAAGCAGGAGCAGCACAUGCACCAGGAGCAUCUGAGUCUGGCCCAGCAGAGGCUGCAACUGGACCGCGCACGACAGGACCUGCCCUCUAGCCUCGUGGGUCUGUUCCCCAGGGCCCAGGGCCCUGCAGCCUCCAGCCAGAGUGCCCUCAUGCCUCCUGCUCCCACCACCCGUUGGUGCAGCCAGCCGCCGACUGGCCUGGACCCCAGCCCCUUGCACCUCCAUGCCAGGCUGGUGCUGCUGAGGCACAUGGCAGAGCAGCACCUGCGGUCUGCGGUGGCACCUGGCAGCUGGACCACAGCCAGGAGAAGGGUACUAUUAGCCCUGCUUCAAACAUGCAGAAACUGAGGCCCGGGGAGAUUAAAUAACCUGCCUGAAAUGACACCGUCCUGGGCCGCCGGACACCCCCGCUGGGGCCGAUGCCCAACAGUGACAUCGACUUGAGCAACCUGGAGCGGCUGGAGAAGUACCGGAGCUUCGACCGCUACCGGCGCCGGGCAGAGCAGGAGGCGCAGGCCCCGCACUGGUGGCGGACCUACCGAGAGUAUUUCGGGGAGAAGACAGAUCCCAAAGAGAAGAUUGAUAUUGGGCUGCCUCCACCCAAAGUCUCCCGGACCCAACAGCUACUGGAACGGAAACAGGCCAUCCGGGAGCUUCGGGCCAAUGUGGAAGAGGAGCGGGCUGCCCGCCUCCGCACAGUGUCCCGCUGGAUGCCGUGCGGGCCGAGUGGGAGAGGACCUGUGGCCCCUACCACAAGCAGCGUCUGGCUGAGUAUUACGGCCUCUACCGAGACCUGUUCCAUGGUGCCACCUUUGUGCCCCGAGUCCCCCUGCACGUGGCCUACGCUGUGGGUGAGGACGACCUGAUGCCCGUGUACUGUGGCAAUGAGGUGACUCCAACCGAGGCUGCCCAAGCGCCAGAGGUGACCUAUGAGGCAGAAGAGGGCUCCUUGUGGACGUUGCUACUCACUAGCUUGGAUGGGCACCUGCUGGAGCCAGAUGCUGAGUACCUCCACUGGCUGCUAACCAACAUCCCGGGUAACCGGGUGGCUGAAGGACAGGUGACGUGUCCCUACCUCCCCCCCUUCCCUGCCCGAGGCUCCGGCAUCCACCGUCUUGCCUUCCUGCUCUUCAAGCAGGACCAGCUGAUUGACUUCUCCGAGGACGCACGCCCCUCACCCUGCUAUCAGCUGGCCCAGCGGACCUUCCGCACUUUUGAUUUCUACAAGAAACACCAAGAAGCCAUGACUCCAGCCGGCUUGUCCUUCUUCCAGUGCCGCUGGGAUGACUCCGUCACCUACAUCUUCCACCAGCUUCUAGACAUGCGGGAGCCGGUGUUUGAGUUCGUGCGGCCGC